rnacentral:rRNA from 1 species
AUUGAACGCUGGCGGCAUGCUUUACACAUGCAAGUCGAACGGCAGCGCGGGCUUCGGCCUGGCGGCGAGUGGCGAACGGGUGAGUAAUACAUCGGAACGUGCCCAGUAGUGGGGGAUAGCUCGGCGAAAGCCGGAUUAAUACCGCAUACGACCUGAGGGUGAAAGCGGGGGAUCUUCGGACCUCGCGCUAUUGGAGCGGCCGAGGGCAGAUUAGCUAGUUGGUGGGGUAAAGGCCUACCAAGGCGACGAUCUGUAGCUGGUCUGAGAGGAGGACCAGCCACAGUGGAACUGAGACACGGACCAGACUCCUCCGGGAGGCAGAAGUGGGGAAUUGUGGAAAAGGGGCGGAAGCCUGAUCCAGCAAGGACGCGGGUGUGAAGAAGGUCUUCGGAUUGUAAAGCACUUUAAGUGGGGAGGAAGAGCAGUAAGUUAAUACCUUGCUGUUUUGACGUUACAAACAGAAUAAGCACCGGCUAACUUCGUG